AAUUCUCAACUUCAAUACUUUUUGUAUUGAAAGCUUGGAUGUUGGAGGGUUUGCAGGCAUGUGUUAAUGCCAGCUCCUCUUAAAUGCAUUAGCAGAACUUGUAUGUUCGGCUCUGGUUUGAUAAUCCUAUCUAUGCCAUUGCUGAAAUGUCAUUGUUCAGCUUCUAAUGGUCCAUCCUAUUGGACUGUCUCCUUGGAGGCAUAUUUUUUG
rnacentral:misc_RNA from 1 species